rnacentral:rRNA from 1 species
GUGGGGAAUCUUGCGCAAUGGGCGAAAGCCUGACGCAGCCAUGCCGCGUGAAUGAUGAAGGUCUUAGGAUUGUAAAAUUCUUUCACCGGGGACGAUAAUGACGGUACCCGGAGAAGAAGCCCCGGCUAACUUCGUGCCAGCAGCCGCGGUAAUACGAAGGGGGCUAGCGUUGCUCGGAAUUACUGGGCGUAAAGGGCGCGUAGGCGGACAGUUUAGUCAGAGGUGAAAGCCCAGGGCUCAACCUUGGAAUUGCCUUUGAUACUGGCUGUCUUGAGUACGGGAGAGGUGAGUGGAACUCCGAGUGUAGAGGUGAAAUUCGUAGAUAUUCGGAAGAACACCAGUGGCGAAGGCGACACACUGGCCCGUUACUGACGCUGAGGCUCGAAAGCGUGGGGAGCAAACAGGAUUAGAAACCCUUGUAGUCC